AUUGAACGCUGGCGGCAGGCCUAACACAUGCAAGUCGAGCGAGCGGCGGACGGGUGAGUAAUGUAUGGGGAUCUGCCCGAUAGAGGGGGAUAACUACUGGAAAGGGUGGCAAAUCCCGCAAACUAUGGGAUGACCCCAUAUGGGAUUAGCUGGUGGGUGGGGUAAAGGCUCACCUAGGCGACGAUCCCUAGCUGGUCUGAGAGGAUGAUCAGCCACACUGGAACUGAGACACGGCCCAGACUCCUACGGGAGGCAGCAGUGGGGAAUAUUGCACAAUGGGCGCAAGCCUGAUGCAGCCAUGCCGCGUGUAUGAAGAAGGCCUUAGGGUUGUAAAGUACUUUCAGCGGGGAGGCGUUACCCGCAGAAGAAGCACCGGCUAACUCCGUGCCAGCCGCCGCGGUAAUAC
rnacentral:rRNA from 1 species